rnacentral:rRNA from 1 species
AUACGUAGGGGGCGAGCGUUAUCCGGAAUUAUUGGGCGUAAAGAGUGCGUAGGUGGUUACCUAAGCGCAGGGUUUAAGGCUACGGCUUAACUGUAGUUCGCCCUGCGAACUGGGCAACUUGAGUGCAGGAGAGGAAAGCGGAAUUCCUAGUGUAGCGGUGAAAUGCUUAGAUAUUAGGAGGAACACCAGUGGCGAAGGCGGCUUUCUGGACUGAAACUGACACUGAGGCACGAAAGCGUGGGGAGCAAACAGGAUUAGAUACCCUGGUAGUCCACGCCGUAAACGAUGAGCACUAGGUGUCGGGGGGAUCACCCUCGGUGCCGGAGUUAACGCAUUAAGUGCUCCGCCUGGGGAGUACGCACGCAAGUGUAAAACUCAAAUGAAUUGACGGGG